CGCCUACGGGACGCAGCAGUGAGGAAUAUUGGUCAAUGGGCGAGAGCCUGAACCAGCCAAGUCGCGUGAGGGAGUACUGCCCUAUGGGUUGUAAACCUCUUUUGUCGGGGAGCAAAAGCCGGACGUGUCCGGCUGUGAGAGUACCCGAAGAAAAAGCAUCGGCUAACUCCGUGCCAGCAGCCGCGGUAAUACGGAGGAUGCGAGCGUUAUCCGGAUUUAUUGGGUUUAAAGGGUGCGCAGGCGGAUUUUUAAGUCAGCGGUCAAAUCGUGGGGCUCAACCCCGGCCCGCCGUUGAAACUGGCAGU
rnacentral:rRNA from 1 species